GCAAUGGACUUUGCUCUGGGAGUGCAAAGUGACUCACAGUUUUGGUAUCUCCUACGUAAGAGCUUUGGGGGGAUUCCUUGGCUUGCUGACAGGCAAGGAAGACAGCGGCAGCAGUGAGGUAAAACACGAUUACUUCCAACUGCCUUGCGGAGGAGGCGCAGUCGUGCGGUGUGACUUGGACAGCUUGCUGCUCUCUGAUGGCACGCGGAGGGAGAAUAAUUAAAAAGGCCAGCAUCACUUACUAAGACUCUUCAUCUCAAGUGAGUAAG
rnacentral:lncRNA from 1 species